AAAAUAAAAACAGGAGGAAUUAAAAGGUUAGAUUAUUUUCUUCGUAUGUCUCUCUGCAGGAGUGAGCGGUAACUGGCAGGCUGCUUUGAGACCUUUGCUGAUGAUGCCACUUGAACAAGGAUUCUACAAGAAAACGAAUAACUGCAGAUAGCUGCUAAACAUCUUGCAGGAUGCUUCAGGAUCCACAUGGAAUUGCUGGAAUUGUAUCAAGAGUUCACAACCACCGCAGUGCCUACCCAUGUGGUUUAACCGUGCUGACUUUGGAUGUAAAUCCACUCAGAAACCCUUCUUGUUGACAGGUACGUCUGAAAAAAACCUGGAGACAUGGAGUGAAAUUUUACUCGGCAGAUGGCAAUAUCACUUUUAGUACUGAGCUCAGGAGAGCUAUUCCAUCAUAUACUCGCUUUUAAAUAUAUUACAUAAAUACACUGGGACUGUGACCUUUUUGUUUCCUUAACAGAGCUGUAUUGGAAGUUGGCUAUAUAUCCUUCUCUCUAGAUGGUAAGAUAAUACAAUUCCUAUGUAUCUUCAGUCAUUCAUGCACUAUAUUGCAUAUGUAAUUAAAGCAUUAAUAAAAAUAACAGCAGGAAGAGUUCA
rnacentral:lncRNA from 1 species